GAGUCUUAUUCCAUUCAGACUCAUUAAAUAAUACACGCUAUUAACAAAACACGCCUCUGCUUCUUUCUCUAGCAAAAUUUCCAUGCCUCCUCUCUGCUUCUUCAACCAAAAUACUACCACUUUUUUCCCUCUUGUACUGGUUUUGUAGUUCAUAGUUUUAUUAGGAAGGAGCGUAUAAAUGAUGAACUGUUUAAUCAAUACGGUUCACCUCAGUUAAUGUUUGAUGAGGAAGAAGGAGAACAAGAAGAAAUGUUAGAUGAAGCAAGUGGACCUAGUUGGAUAGCUGAAGAUUCGCAGAUAAUGCACAAUAUGUGUGAACAACUUGCCCUUCAACUAAUGCAAAGAAGAGGAAAUACUUGAGAUUUUCAUAUUUUCAUUAUUUGAAAUACUUCCAGUGUUUGGACCUUAGAAUUUGAUCUGAUGUAGUUAAUUAUUUGAAUUAUCUUAUACUUGAGCGUUUGAAGUGGAACAAGAUUUUGUUUAACUGAA